AACGAACGCUGGCGGCAUGCCUAACACAUGCAAGUCGAACGAGACCUUCGGGUCUAGUGGCGCACGGGUGCGUAACGCGUGGGAACCUGCCCUUAGGUUCGGAAUAACUCCCCGAAAGGGGUGCUAAUACCGGAUAAUGUCUUCGGACCAAAGAUUUAUCGCCUUUGGAUGGGCCCGCGUUGGAUUAGCUAGUUGGUAGGGUAAAAGCCUACCAAGGCGACGAUCCAUAGCUGGUCUGAGAGGAUGAUCAGCCACACUGGGACUGAGACACGGCCCAGACUCCUACGGGAGGCAGCAGUAGGGAAUAUUGGACAAUGGGCGAAAGCGUGAUCCAGCAAUGCCGCGUGAGUGAUGAAGGCCUUAGGGUUGUAAAGCUCUUUUACCCGGGAUGAUAAUGACAGUACCGGGAGAAUAAGCACCGGCUAACUCCGUG
rnacentral:rRNA from 1 species